GAAUUCGCCCUUAGAGUUUGAUCCUGGCUCAGGAUAAACGCUGGCGGCGCACAUAAGACAUGCAAGUCGAACGGAAGUCGUUAUAAAAGGAGAGAAGAUUUGUCGGAUUGAAUUUUAUAACAAUGGCUUUAGUGGCGGACUGGUGAGUAACGCGUAAGGAACCUACCUAUUAGAGGGGAACAACAAUGAGAAAUCAUUGCUAAUACCGCAUAUGCCAUAACUACCGCAUGGUAGAAGUGGGAAAGGAGUAAUCCGCUGAUAGAUGGCCUUGCGUCUGAUUAGUUAGUUGGUGGGGUAACGGCCUACCAAGACGACGAUCAGUAGCCGGACUGAGAGGUUGAACGGCCACAUUGGGACUGAGAUACGGCCCAGACUCCUACGGGAGGCAGCAGUCGGGAAUAUUGCGCAAUGGAGGAAACUCUGACGCAGUGACGCCGCGUGCAGGAAGAAGGUUUUCGGAUUGUAAACUGCUUUAGACAGGGAAGAGAAAGGACAGUACCUGUAGAAUAAGCUCCGGCUAACUACGUGCCAGCAGCCGCGGUAAUACGUAGGGAGCGAGCGUUAUCCGGAUUUAUUGGGUGUAAAGGGUGCGUAGACGGGAAUACAAGUUAGUUGUGAAAUACCUCGGCUUAACUGAGGAACUGCAACUAAAACUAUAUUUCUUGAGUACAGGAGAGGUAAGUGGAAUUCCUAGUGUAGCGGUGAAAUGCGUAGAUAUUAGGAGGAACACCAGUGGCGAAGGCGACUUACUGGACUGAAACUGACGUUGAGGCACGAAAGUGUGGGGAGCAAACAGGAUUAGAUACCCUGGUAGUCCACACCGUAAACG
rnacentral:rRNA from 1 species